rnacentral:rRNA from 1 species
GACGAAGGGGGCUAGCGUUGUUCGGAAUUACUGGGCGUAAAGCGCGUGUAGGCGGCUUGUUAAGUCGGGUGUGAAAGCCCUCAGCUCAACUGAGGAAGGGCGCCCGAAACUGGCGAGCUUGAGUGUCGGAGAGGAUGGCGGAAUACCCCAAGUAGAGGUGAAAUUCGUAGAUAUGGGGUGGAACACCGGUGGCGAAGGCGGCCAUCUGGACGACAACUGACGCUGAGACGCGAAAGCGUGGGGAGCAAACAGG